UGCAUCUUCCUCUCUCUCUUUUCAUCUUUUCUUUUGCUAAAGAAUGGAAUGGAAACGUCUAAGAUAAGGAACUCCAUUUGCUACUUGAUUGGAUCUGAAAAUGGACAAUUUUGUCUGAUAUACAGAACUUUGCCCACCUAUUACAGUUACUUUAUGGCAGACUCUAUUGUACUGUAAAGGAAAAGGGAGAUCACAGUGUAGACAUAGAAAGAAACAUAAUGCAUUCAAACAGAUAUAAGAAGAUAGAACAAUGCAUCAUUUGCAUUCUGUUGAGCAGAUUAGAUACAAUAUACAUCAAACGGUUAGUCUCUAUCUCCAUCCCCACCUUCAUCUCCUCCUUCCGAUCUAUUUGACAAAUAUACUCUCGGUUUAUGAAUUUUGAUCAAACAUACAUGCACAAGAGAAAGUUCGAUAUGUCGCUCAUUUUCUCUCUCAUAAAAUACCAGGGAAGUAAUGUUGCGGCUCAAAUCGAGUUAUGACUGUUUUGAAAUUCUUAUGUGAAAUAUCAAAUUUA